rnacentral:lncRNA from 1 species
GAGGUGUGCAGCUGGCAAAUUGUGUCAUCUAGAAAGGCAUCUUAGCUCCCAGGCAUGGGUGGCUUCUCUCAAACCAGAAGAUCCUUGCUUGUGUCUCCCUCAAACCUUGCCUAGGAGAGUUCAAGGAAGGAACAGGGUGUGGCCAGCAUGAGAAAAACCAACAGGACCCGUAGGAUUGCUCAGAGGAUCAGUUGGUCAGUGCUGGAGCCCCAGAGGUGCACAAAGGGACAAUCCUGACUGAAGGAGGAGGCAGGGCGGUAUUAGUGACAGAGAGAGGGGCACAUCAUCAAGAAGCAGCUUCCAGGCCAGCCCUGCACACCUGGGCAGGCUUUUUCUGUCUGAAGGGCCCCUAUUGUGGAGUAGGGAUAGAACUUACUCACAGGACACCUCCUCCUUCCCUUCCUAAGCUUUGUUGUGGAGACCAGAGACCACGGGUGGGGCCCCGGAAUUGCCCAUGUAGGACAGGAUACCCCAGGCUGAAAUUUCAUCAGCAGGUUCUGGGUGUCACCUCUUUCCUGCUGCCAAGUUUACGCUCAGUUUGGGGACAUCAGAGGAGAGACAUCCACCUCUUCCCAGCCCACACUCUGGAAGAAUAAAGUAGGCCCUAGAUUUGGGGCAAAGCCACCAUGCCAAGCAUCUUCUCUCCCAAACUGGAAGACGGAUGAACAACAGACAGAAGAGAUUCCUCUCAUUCCAGGGCUUACUGUCCUGCAAGGGCUUGGACAGAGGCCAGCCUGCUGGGCUCUAUAGUCAUCGGUCAUGAAGGCCACAGCUGAAGCUAUGGCCACAGAAUCAGGUGGGGUAGUGCAGCACGUCUGUAGGCAUAGCCUGCAUUAGACAUUAAGAGCCUUGUGCUUGAUCCUGAAGGUAGACCCAUGAAAUCAUAGCUGAAAUGAGAUGGAAAAUGAUGGGCCAGCACUUUCCUUUUCUCUAAUCUCUUUGUUCAAGCUCGAUUUGGUGUCCAGACACAUCUUGAUGCAAACCCUGCAUUGUACCGGAGAUUUAGAAGGGCAAGGUCCCACCAGCUGUGUAAGCUGGCACACCUCUCAUGAGGAAACUUGCUGCUGUCCAAGACCCUCAUCCCAUCAUCCAUCUGGAACCUCCAUGAAGCAGGAACAGGCCCCAACCAAUCUCCUCAGCG